rnacentral:rRNA from 1 species
UACGAAGGGGGCUAGCGUUGUUCGGAAUUACUGGGCGUAAAGCGUGCGCAGGCGGCCUUUCAAGUCAGUGGUGAAAGCCCGGAGCUCAACUCCGGAACUGCCAUUGAAACUGUUUGGCUUGAGUACGAGAGAGGUGAGUGGAAUUCCCAGUGUAGAGGUGAAAUUCGUAGAUAUUGGGAAGAACACCGGUGGCGAAGGCGGUUCUCUGGGACGGUACUGACGCUGAGACGCGAAAGCGUGGGGAGCGAACAGG